UACAGAGGGUGCAAGCGUUAAUCGGAAUUACUGGGCGUAAAGCGUGCGUAGACGGUUAUGUAAGUCAGAUGUGAAAGCCCAGGGCUCAACCUUGGAAUUGCAUUUGAGACUGCAUAGCUAGGGUGCGGAAGAGGGAAGCGGAAUUUCCGGUGCAGCGGUGAAAUGCGUAGAUAUCGGAAGGAACACCAGUGGCGAAGGCGGCUACCUGGACUGACACUGACGCUGAGGCGCGAGAGCGUGGGGAGCAAACAGG
rnacentral:rRNA from 1 species